UUCAAUCAGCCUUGUGAUUUCGGCCUUUAUAUCGGGUAGGAUUUUAGGAUUACAUCGCCGUGCGGGUUGCUGAUAUGGCCGAUAUCCCGGCUUUAUGGGCAGCCGGUGUUCAACAAUGGACCGGUCUAAUCCAGGCAUCUCAUGAUAUUCCCAAGCAAAGCAAUCUUUAAACUCUUUCAAUAAAUUUGUCAAUUUACAUUUGUAUUCCGGAUCCAAAUUAGCACUGAUGUACGUCGGCCUUGGCUUGGUGCCAUCGCCUAAAUCUAUCAUCUCUAAUGAAUCGGCCGACGUAAACCCGUGCCCUAGCUUCCCGUCUUCCCGAACGAACUGAUCCAUUUCAUCUAAGUCUUCAGAGCCGACUGCUCGGAUCGGCUGUAGGACAAAAUCGGACACCUUCAGAAAAU
rnacentral:lncRNA from 1 species